rnacentral:tRNA from 1 species
GGCCCCAUCGUCUAAUGGUUAGGACGCUAGGUUCUCAUCCUAGUAAUACCAGUUCGAAUCUGGUUGGGGCUA